AUCAAAUUUCUGUGAGUUGGUGUGGUAGAAAUACCGCAGGAGAAUACUCCUACUCAAUACGUCCCCGGCGUACAGAGUGGUAACAUGUCUCUCCAAAUAUCUGAGCUUGGGUAUACGGGAAAAUCCAUCCUCUUGGGAGGAUGGGUGAUAUGGCUAAAUUGAGAGGA
rnacentral:ribozyme from 1 species